UACGUAGGGGGCGAGCGUUGUCCGGAUUUAUUGGGCGUAAAGAGCGUGUAGGCGGCUUGGUAGGUCUCGCGUCAAAACCUGAGGCUCAACCUCAGUUCGCGUGGGAAACCACCUAGCUAGAGUCCGGAAGAGGAGAACGGAAUUCCCAGUGUAGCGGUGAAAUGCGCAGAUAUUGGGAAGAACACCAGUGGCGAAGGCGGUUCUCUGGGACGGUACUGACGCUGAGACGCGAAAGCGUGGGGAGCGAACAGG
rnacentral:rRNA from 1 species